CUGAACGAUUUAAUCACGUUCUGUUGUUAAGAAAGUAUUAAGCUUCUUAAUAAUCUUACCUUACCGAAAUCUUUCUCCGUCCAUUUUGGGACAACCUCAUCUAGAGUAGUUGACAACUCUACGACAGAUUCAUCCACGUGAUCACUAGUAAAGGUGAUGCACGACCGAAACACAUAUUGAAUUUAAAAUAACUGCUAUUUAAUACGCCAGACGCGCAUUUAGUCUACAUAGUUAUAAAGCCAAAAAGGUACAAAGUUAGAGAGCAUUGAGGACCCCAAAUUCCAAAAAGCUGUGCCAAAUACGGCUUAGGUAAUCUGCU
rnacentral:lncRNA from 1 species